AUUGAACGCUGGCGGCAGGCUUAACACAUGCAAGUCGAGCGGGGUGAUGGUGCUUGCACUAUCACUUAGCGGCGGACGGGUGAGUAAUGCUUAGGAAUCUGCCUAUUAGUGGGGGACAACAUCUCGAAAGGGAUGCUAAUACCGCAUACGUCCUGCGGGAGAAAGCAGGGGAUCACUUGUGACCUUGCGCUAAUAGAUGAGCCUAAGUCGGAUUAGCUAGUUGGUGGGGUAAAGGCCUACCAAGGCGACGAUCUGUAGCGGGUCUGAGAGGAGGAUCGCCCACACUGGGACUGAGACACGGCCCAGACUCCUACGGGAGGCAGCAGUGGGGAAUAUUGGACAAUGGGGGGAACCCUGAUCCAGCCAUGCCGCGUGUGUGAAGAAGGCCUUAUGGUUGUAAAGCACUUUAAGCGAGGAGGAGGCUCUUUUGGUUAAUACCCAAGAUGAGUGGACGUUACUCGCAGAAUAAGCACCGGCUAACUCUGUGCCAGCCGCCGCAGUAA
rnacentral:rRNA from 1 species